UCCGUGGGGCCCAGAGAGCACGCGCGCUGACCGUUUCAUUGACGCAGGUCACUGAGGUAAAUAACAAUAAUAACUCAACUUAAAGUCAUAAACUACCGAUACAAUUACGAUGUAACGGGAUACCGGGAAGGUUACUACGUGACGUUAGAUUAUACCUCAAAGUUUGUGGUACUUUUCUCUUCAUCAAUCAGACAAAGUAUCACAGUACAUGAGUACAUGUGUACUCUCAUGUUUUAGUAUUAACAACAAGCCAAACAAUGUGGAUGAUCCAGUGAUGGAAGAAGUACUCAGUUACUGAGGUAAAGGUACAAAUACUGCCAUGUAAAAAUACUCCAGUACUAUCAGCUUCAUGUUGUCAAAGUAUCAGUAAAAGUACACAAGUACUAUCAGCUUCAUGUAGUUAAAGUAUACUUGUUUUAAUGUACAUAUCUUGCUAACACACAAUAAAGUACUUUGUGUACUUCUACUUCUUUAUUUAAAACACGUGUUUGUGGUUGUACUGCCUCUUGUGGCCGAUAUGAGUAUUACAACAACACACAAACAUUCGAUCAUUCUUCAGAGUUUUAACAUUUUAAAUGUGUGUUUACAUGUCACAGAAGAGAAACGUGGUAUUUUUGAGGCAGUAAAGAAAAAUACACAAAAACUAAAAUCACCUUUUUUUAAUCUUUACAGAAAGAAGUUGACAAUAAGUAAAAUGCCGUCUUGUGUCGCCUUCAACUGUUUGAUGAGAAGUGACCGCAGUGGAUCCAAAGUUCCUCUGUUCCGCUCUACAGGUUUCCACACCACCACGAGGCGAGGCUGCGUCUGUGGGUCACCAACGUAAAGCGCAAGAACUGGGAGCCGUCGGCCGACUCGCGCCUAUGUGCUCUACAUUUCACCACCGAGUGUUUCCACAGCGCCCCGGGGAGGAGCAGGCGGCUGAACGCGACCGCCGUCCCGACCGUUUUCACCUUCUCCCGCCAUGGCGCCAACAGGACGUGCACGACCCAGGAGGAGAGGAUCCUCAGCGGGGUAAGUGACCCGGUGUACCUGGACCAUCCGUACUGCGGCGUGGCCGUUAGCGACAACUCCACGUCUACGGAGGUGAGCGGUGCCGCUAACGACGACCGGCGGCACGAGACGACCGAGCGGGAAGGCGACCGCGUCGGAGAGGAGUCGCGUGUCGACGUACCGGCCUCCGCUGAACACGCGGGUGUCGGAGAAGCUCCCGAUACUCAAAUGGCGUUGAACAAGUUACAUGUCGCGGUUCAGACGAUGGGGAGGAAACUGGUCACCUACCGUAAGAAGCUGAAAUCAGAGACAGACCACCAGACGGUUGAAUCUGAAGACUUCCCGGUUGACCGGAGUCGUCCACGAGCUGCAGCACAAACUGAGAACAAUGAGACAAAAUACACAGAAGACGUCUGAUGGAGAGGAGACGCCUGAAGCUCUGCUGUGUAGCAGCAAUCUAACAGCACCAUGAACCACAGGUCUCUUCUUCUCCAAGUCUCUGCUGCACACUGUUCCUUUAAUUCAUGUUGUUGUUGUUGUUGUUGUUGUUGUUGUUUGUCUCUGUCAGUACAGUACACGUUGGAGAAGCUCCUUACUCGUUUCAUGAUGUGGAUUUAAUGUCUUGUGUGUGUGCAGAUAAAAUGUGAGACCUGAGAAAAGCUCCCUGUGAUUAAUAACUCUCACCUUUAAAUUAUGUUUUUUUAAAUGUCAUUCUGGACCCUGUAGGAGUGAACUAAGAAGAACAUAGUGCAACAAUAAAACAUGAAGAAGAAUUCAGAGGUUGGGAAUAGUUGUAGAAUUGGUUUGGCUACCUGCACAUUAGGGAUUAAAGGGUUAUGAAUUAGCAUUAAAAGUAUUAAAUAUGAGGCGGAUAACGGACAUUUGGUAACGCAGUAAUCCCACCAGUUUAAAUAAGAAUAUCUCUAUUGGGAAAAGUAAUUAUCACACAUAUCCUUGUUGUAUUAUAACUGAAAAUGCUGAAUAUAAUAUGACCGUGUUAUAACAGAACAUAAUAAACUGUCAAAUAUAUUAAAGAAAGGGUUAGAGAGAAAGGAUACCAGAAACAAAUGGAGGUAAAGGUGAAGGUAACUCAGAGGGUUAUCACGUUUCUUUAUG